rnacentral:rRNA from 1 species
GAUGAAUGCUGGCGGCGUGCCUAAUACAUGCGAGUCGAGCGAACAGACGAGGAGCUUGCUCCUCUGACGUUAGCGGCGGACGGGUGAGUAACACGUGGAUAACCUACCUAUAAGACUGGGAUAACUUCGGGAAACCGGAGCUAAUACCGGAUAAUAUAUUGAACCGCAUGGUUCAAUAGUGAAAGACGGUUUUGCUGUCACUUAUAGAUGGAUCCGCGCCGCAUUAGCUAGUUGGUAAGGUAACGGCUUACCAAGGCAACGAUGCGUAGCCGACCUGAGAGGGUGAUCGGCCACACUGGAACUGAGACACGGUCCAGACUCCUACGGGAGGCAGCAGUAGGGAAUCUUCCGCAAUGGGCGAAAGCUUGACGGAGCAACGCCGCGUGAGUGAUGAAGGUCUUCGGAUCGUAAAACUCUGUUAUUAGGGAAGAACAAAUGUGUAAGUAACUAUGCACGUCUUGACGGUACCUAAUCAGAAAGCCACGGCUAACUACGUG